rnacentral:rRNA from 1 species
CAUCGCUUAAUGCUUAUAUAUUAAGUAAUGCCUGCCCAAUGAUUUAAAUGGCCGCAGUAUCUUGACUGUGCAAAGGUAGCAUAAUCAAUUGUCUCUUAAUUAGAGGCUAGUAUGAAUGGCUUGACGGAGUAAAAACUGUCCCUUAGUUAAAAAUUAAAUUUAAUCUGUAAGUUAAAAAGCUUAUAUAAAUUCGCAGGACGAGAAGACCCCGUAGAGCUUAAUAGAAAUAACCAGUUUUAUUUUAGAAAUUUACUAGAUAUUGAUUAGAUAUAUUUAAUUGGGGCGAUUUGAAUUUAAUUAACAUUUCAUAGUAAAACUUAAAUUAAUGGAUAAAUGACCCGGUAGCCGAUAAAUAGAUAAAGCUACCUCGGGGAUAACAGCGUAAUUUAAUUUUAGAGUUCUUAUCAAAACUUAAGAUUGCGACCUCGAUGUUGGAUUAAGAUACAAAUAAAGKGCAGCCGCUUUAUAUUGGGGUCUGUUCGACCUUUAAACUCUUACAUGAUCU